GAGGGUGUAGCUCAAUUGGUAAAGUGCAUGCUUAGCAUGCAUGAGGUCCUGGGUUUAAUCCCCAGUACCUCCG
rfam:Camelus ferus unplaced genomic scaffold scaffold1797, whole genome shotgun sequence.